rnacentral:tRNA from 1 species
GGAGAGGUGUCCGAGCUGGUCGAAGGAGCACGGUUGGAAACCGUGUAGGACGUGUAUUCGUUCUCGAGGGUUCGAAUCCCUCUCUCUCCGCCA